CUACUGGCCGCAGCAGUGAGGAAUAUUGCACAAUGGGGGGAACCCUGAUGCAGCAACGCCGCGUGGAGGAUGACGCAUUUCGGUGUGUAAACUCCUUUUAUAUGUCAAGAAAAUGACGGUAGCAUAUGAAUAAGCACCGGCUAACUCCGUGCCAGCAGCCGCGGUAAUACGGAGGGUGCAAGCGUUACUCGGAAUCACUGGGCGUAAAGGACGCGUAGGCGGGUUGGAAAGUCAGGUGUGAAAUCCUACAGCUUAACUGUAGAACUGCACUUGAAACUUCUAAUCUAGAGUAUGGGAGGGGGAGAUGGAAUUAGUGGUGUAGGGGUAAAAUCCGUAGAUAUCACUAGGAGUACCUAAAGCGAAGGCGAUCUCCUGGAACAUUACUGACGCUAAGGCGUGAAAGCGUGGGGAGCAAACAGGAUUAGAUACCCCUGUAGUC
rnacentral:rRNA from 1 species